CCUACGGGGGGCUGCAGUGGGGAAUAUUGCACAAUGGGGGAAACCCUGAUGCAGCAACGCCGCGGGAGCGAUGAAGGCCUUCGGGUCGUAAAGCUCUGUCCUAGGGGAAGAAUACUGACGGUACCUUAGGAGGAAGCCCCGGCUAACUACGUGCCAGCAGCCGCGGUAAUACGUAGGGGGCUAGCGUUAUCCGGAAUGACUGGGCGUAAAGGGUGCGUAGGAGGCCCUUCAAGUCAGAGGUGAAUGGCUACGGCUCAACCGUAGGAAGCCUUUGAAACUGUAGGGCUUGAGUGCAGGAGAGGAGAGGGGAAUUCCCAGUGUAGCUGUGACAUGCGUUAAUAAUGGAAGGAACCACAGUGGCGAAGGCCGCUCUCUGGACUUUAACUUACGCUGAGGCACGAAAGGGUGGGGGGAGAACAGGAUUAGGGAGCCCUGUAGAC
rnacentral:rRNA from 1 species